UACGUAGGGUGCAAGCGUUAAUCGGAAUUACUGGGCGUAAAGCGUGCGCAGGCGGUUUUGUAAGUCUGUCGUGAAAUCCCCGGGCUUAACCUGGGAAUGGCAUUUGUGACUGCACGGCUAGAGUGUGUCAGAGGGGGGUAGAAUUCCACGUGUAGCAGUGAAAUGCGUAGAUAUGUGGAGGAAUACCGAUGGCGAAGGCAGCCCCCUGGGAUAACACUGACGCUCAUGCACGAAAGCGUGGGGAGCAAACAGG
rnacentral:rRNA from 1 species